rnacentral:rRNA from 1 species
AAUGAACGCUGGCGGCGUGCUUAACACAUGCAAGUCGAGCGAGGCCAGGGGGGCGAACUCCCUCGAGUCGAGCGGCGGACGGGUGAGUAACACGUGGGUAACCGUACCCGGAAGUGGGAAGUACCUCGGGAACGUCGAGCUAAUACCGCAUGACAUCUUUGGGUACGAAAGUCCUGACGAUCAAAGCGGGGUCGCAAGAUCUCGCGCUACCGGAUGGGCCCGCGCCCGAUUAGCUAGUUGGUGAGGUAACGGCUCACCAAGGCGACGAUCGGUAACCGGCCUGAGAGGGCGAUCGGUCACACCGGAACUGAGACACGGUCCGGACUCCUACGGGAGGCGGCAGUGGGGAAGUCUUGCGCAAUGGGCGAAAGCCUGACGCAGCAACGCCGCGUGGAGGA